AUGGCUUCUUCCGGUUCUGUGACGAGGCCACCGUGUGCUAACCGCGAGGAUAUGCCGGACAAGUGGACAGACGCCGAGUUGGAUAAGGUGAAGGACAAAGAUAUGAGAACUCCAUCAUGUUGGUGUGGAGAUGUUUGCAAAGUUAAGGUAUCCACCGACCGCAAGAAAUCAUGGACGGAAGGAAGAAGAUAUUUCCAACUAUGCCUACGAUCGUCCUUGUCCAGCUCAUGCCUAUGA
rnacentral:rRNA from 1 species